AAUAAAGUGCCUGAUAAAAGGAUUAUCUUGAUAGGAUAAAAUAUGUAAAAAUAAACUACCUUUAUUA
rnacentral:tRNA from 1 species